rnacentral:rRNA from 1 species
UGGGGAAUAUUGGACAAUGGGCGGAAGCCUGAUCCAGCCAUGCCGCGUGUGUGAAGAAGGCCUUUUGGUUGUAAAGCACUUUAAGCGAGGAGGAGGCUCUUCUAGUUAAUACCUAGGAUGAGUGGACGUUACUCGCAGAAUAAGCACCGGCUAACUCUGUGCCAGCAGCCGCGGUAAUACAGAGGGUGCGAGCGUUAAUCGGAUUUACUGGGCGUAAAGCGUGCGUAGGCGGCUGAUUAAGUCGGAUGUGAAAUCCCCGAGCUUAACUUGGGAAUUGCAUUCGAUACUGGUUAGCUAGAGUGUGGGAGAGGAUGGUAGAAUUCCAGGUGUAGCGGUGAAAUGCGUAGAGAUCUGGAGGAAUACCGAUGGCGAAGGCAGCCAUCUGGCCUAACACUGACGCUGAGGUGCGAAAGCAUGGGGAGCAAACAGG